CCCCUCUCAGGGUCGCUCCUGAAGAGUUUCCAACACUCUACCAGUCUCCGCUAAGGGAGGGAGAGUCAAGCAGAGGCCUACCCAUUCCAUUCCUAGCUGGACCAGCGACUAGAGAGUGGAAGGCAAUCUGCUACAAGU